rfam:Felis catus isolate Cinnamon breed Abyssinian chromosome B3, whole genome shotgun sequence.
GCCUGGGUGGCUCAGUUGGUUGAGCAUCGGACUUGGGCUCAGGUCAUGAUCUCGUGGUUCGUGGGUUCGAGCCCCGCAUCGGGCU